CAUGUCUUUUUGUUAAUGAUUUAAAGUCUGGCCUGCUCGAUGAGGUUUAAAUUGCCGCAGUAUUUUGACUGUGCAAAGGUAGCAUAAUAAUUAGUUUCUUGAUUAGGGGCUUGAAUGAAAGGUUGAACAAGAAAGUUUCUGUCUCUGUUUUAUUAUUAUUGAAUUUUAUUUUUAAGUUAAAAAGCUUAAAUUUUUUUAAAAGACGAGAAGACCCUAUAGAGUUUUAUAUUUUAAUUAUAUUAUUUUUUAGUAAAUUUGUUUAAUUUGAUUAUUUGGUUGGGGUGAUUCGGAUAUUAAGUUAAUUUUCUGAAUAUAUUAUUGUUGAUGUUUAAAUUAAAGUUCUUUUAUUUUCAAGUUUAAAUUAAUUACCUUAGGGAUAACAGCGUAAUUUUUCUUUAAAGUUCUUAUUAAAAGGAGAGUUUGCGACCUCGAUGUUGGAUUAAAAUAAAUUUUUGGUGCAGUAACUUAAGUAUUAGGUCUGUUCGACCUUUAAAAUUUUACAUGAUCUGAGUUUAGACCGGCGUGAGCCAGGUUAGAUUCUAUCUUUAGGAAUAUAUUAUAUUUUAGUACGAAAGGACCUGAUAUUAAUUAUAUUAAUUG
rnacentral:rRNA from 1 species